rnacentral:misc_RNA from 1 species
GAUGAAGAACGCAGCGAAAUGCGAUAAGUAAUGUGAAUUGCAGAAUUCAGUGAAUCAUCGAAUCUUUGAACGCACCUUGCGCCCUUUGGCCAUUCCGAAGGGCAUGCCUGUUUGAGUAUCAUGAACACCUCAACUCUUCAUGGUUUUCCAUGAUGAGCUUGGACUUUGGGGGUCUUGCUGGCCUGUGGGUCGGCUCCCCUCAAAUGAAUCAGCUUGCCAGUGAUUGGUGGCACCACAGGUGUGAUAAACAUCUACGCUUGUGGUUCCCCACCAUGUAACCUUUAGCGAUAGAGGUUCGCUGGAGCUCACAAAUGUCUUUCCUCAGUGAAGACAGCUCUUUGAUUGUUUGAUCUCAAAUCAGGUAGGACUACCCGCUGAACUUAAGCAUAUCAAUAAGCGGAGGA